UUGGUAAACUUAAGUGCUAAAAAUUAUUAAAUUGUUUUAACAUUGGGUGAGUUUUGUACACUAUAAAUUGAUAAAAUCGUAUUCUCUUUGUUAUAUACAAAAAGGAAGAAAAAAAUGGAUAAAACCAUUAAGUUAGCUCUCGCAAUAAUUUUAUUUUUUUUUCUAUUUUUUAUUACAGAGGCGGAUUACUAUCGAAGCCCUCCAACGUAUGAAAUUGAAAUGAAUCCAACGACUACAAAUAUCAAAUGUAAAACCGCUAAAGAUUGUUCUGAGGAAGUCGUGAGACCCAACUACUUCAUUGCUAUUUGCAGUCGUGGCUAUUGUCUUAAAUUACUUGGGUAGAAUGACUUCUACUAGCAAUAUGAACUUUCUGUGUUCAUUGAUAGCUAUUGUGAAUGCCGUGCUGGAAAGAUUGAAUUCUCCUACAAGCAAAUAAUCUCUUCAAUAAUUGUAUUUAACAUUGAAUAAUUUUGUUUUUAUUUUUUCAAUUGGUAAUCACACCUACCUUGAAACUAUAGCUUUGUACUCUAAAGUGACGAUAAAUGAAAUAAGACACUAAAUAAUA